UACGUAGGGGGCAAGCGUUGUCCGGAAUCAUUGGGCGUAAAGCGCGUGUAGGCGGUUCGGUAAGUCUGCUGUGAAAAGUCCAGGGCUCAACCCUGGGAUGCCGGUGGAUACUGUCGGACUAGAGUACGGAAGAGGCGAGUGGAAUUCCCGGUGUAGCGGUGAAAUGCGCAGAUAUCGGGAGGAACACCAAUUGCGAAGGCAGCUCGCUGGGACGUUACUGACGCUGAGACGCGAAAGCGUGGGGAGCAAACAGG
rnacentral:rRNA from 1 species